GGGGACGUAAUGGUUUCGACAGGGUCAAUGAAGUGUGUUAAGCGAGCCGCAGUUUGUCCGGUCUGCGUUAAAAAGGACACGUUAAAUACAAACGCAAAAAAUAACAACAACGAAUUCGCACUUGCAGCUUAGUUCUGCGCGAAGGUCAGCCUGUGUUCACCUGUAGACACGGGGUCUGAUCUCAAACAUGCAGGAAACUCCGCGGGAGUGCCCGGGACCGCGGGGGAAUAACGGGAUAACCGAUCACAUAGCCUGUCUCUGGACGGUGUGACCGGCGAAAAGCCAAACAGAGACUGCGCUCGGAGAAGUACACGUGGAACUGAUUUUGGACGCGGGUUCGACUCCCGCCGUUUCCACCA
rnacentral:tmRNA from 1 species